AAAAAAAUUAAACACAAAACUGAAUAAGUCGUGAAAAAGUGAAAAAAUAAUAAAAAAUUUAUUAAUUUGUAUAAAAAUCUCAGUUGGAAAUAAAUGAGGAGUAUAAUUGUAUACAGGAAUCGCCACAAUCCUUAAGGCAGAAGCUCGCGGAUUUCAUCUAUAAGAGCAAUAGCCGGAAAAAGAGGACUAAAAAAGGCCUUACAGACAUUUUGUCUCACAAAUUGUUGGUUGACUUUAAUGUAGAAGGAAGUCAUAAUGAACAGAGACUUCUAAAUUACCCAAAAUUUGUUAAUAUACUAUUUCAAGGAACUUAUGAUGAAAAUAGUUCAGAAAAAUCUUUUAAGAAUACGUUAAGAGACGCUUUAAAGAUGGCCAAAAAUAGAUUCUAUAGACUCCCCCAAAGAUGGGGAUUCGGAAAAGGUUUUGCAACUCACAGACAAUGAAUUGGUAUAAAAAUACCCCUCAAUUUUUUAGUUCUCAACAAUUAUUUUUUUUAUUUAAUUAAAUAUUGAAUUUGCUUUAUUUUGUUCCCGUUUUUAAAAAUAUUAUAUUAAAUAUAAUUAAAUUAUUCAUAUUUCUUACUUAUCAACAAUUUGUUUUGUAUAUAUUCAAAUAUUGAAUUAAAUUUAUUUUAUUUAUCCUACUGAAUAUGUACCUCCAAUUGAAUAUGUACCUGUUUUUUUAUUGAAUGAAAGCCUUUAAUUUUAAUAAAUAUUAAAUUAUUUAUA